AGAAGUUUAGAGGAACUUCAAGGAAAUUAUGCCAAAUGAAAAGAGAAAAUCUGAAAAGGAUACAUAGUGGAUGAUUCCACUUAUUUAAGAUUGAUCAUUUGCUUGUGGGGAAAUCAAAUGCAACACUGUGAGGUUUCUCAAAAAGGUCAGUGGAGAGGUCCAUGUGGUGAAAAACUGAGGCCUUUUGCCCAAGCCCAUUUGGAAGUAAAUCCUUCAGGUCCCAUCAAGCCUUCAGAUGACUGUGGCCUCAGCUGAUAUCUUGACUACAUACAACCUCAUGAGAGACCUUGGGCCAGAAGAACCCAAUACAUCUCACAGAGGAAGUUUUUAAAAGAUACAUGCCAACUAGAUGAUCUGCCCAUGAUGAAGCUGUUCAAACUUUGCAGCAUUGAUUCAAUACCAUUUUAAGGACUUUGAAAUAUAUUUUCAAAUAG